GCCCGGGGCCGGUGUCCCUGUCGCCGGGCCUCCGCUUCCCCCGCCCGCCCCCCACGUGCCCCGGCGCAGCGGCCCUCAGCGGCCCGGACCCCCGCUGCUCGCCCCUCCCCUCCCCGCCACGGCUCCGCCGCGCGCGUGCUCAGGGGGUCGGGGCUGCCGUGCCCCGGGCCUCGGCGUAGUGCCUGGUGCCCCCGAGAGCUGUGCGUUCGGGCUGCGCGUUUCAGUGCUGUGCAUCUGCUAAAUGGCAGAUGGAGACAACAGAGCCCUCGCUGGGAGGCCCUGACCCAGAGGCACCUGCUUUCAGGCCCAGGCUUUCCGGGAGGUCCAAAGGACAUUAAGAUUGGUAAGAAAAGCAGAGCGUAUAUUCUGAAUGGGAAAGAGGGACAAGGAUCUUGACGGUGAUGUAACAAAGGCAACAUUCAUUGGAAAGGCCCACAGAAAGUACUGCAGUCUGGCUACAGACUUAUAUCCUUUGAAUCAACUAGGAGACCCACCUGAAGAAAUGGUUCUCUGAUCCAUGGUUUAAGCUCUCUUAGACCUGCUUAUGAUAGGGUUUUUUAAAAACAGAUUAGCAAAAAUGUACAAGUGGGACUAUAUCAAACUAAAAAGCUUCUGCACAGCAAAGGACACCAUCAGUAGAACAAAAAGACAUCCUACAGUAUAGGAGGAUAUAUUCAUAAAUGAUAUAUCUGAUAAGGGGUUGACAUCCAAAUUAUAUAAAGAGCUCACUCAUCUCAACGAAGAAAAAGCAAAUAAGCCAAUUAAAAAUGGGCCAAGGAGCUGAACAGACACUUCUCCAAAGAAGAAAUUCAGAUGGCCAACAGACACAUGAAAAGAUGCUCCACAUCACUAAUUAUCAGAGAAAUGCAAAUUAAAACCACAAUGAGAUAUCACCUCACACCAGUAAGGAUGGCCAACAUCCAAAAGACAAACAACAACAAAUGUUGGCGAGGCUGUGGAGAAAGGGGAACCCUCCUACACUGCUGGUGGGAAUGUAAGUUAGUUCAACCAUUGUGGAAAGCAGUAUGGAGGUUCCUAAAAAAACUCAAAAUAGAAAUACCAUUUGACCCAGCAAUUCCACUCCUAGGAAUUUACCCUAAGAAUGCAGCAGCCCAGCUUGAAAAAGACAGAUGUACCCCUAUGUUUAUGGCAGCACUAUUUACAAUAGCCAAGAAAUGGAAGCAACCUAAGUGUCCAUCAAUAGAUGAAUGGAUAAAGAAGAUGUGGUACAUAUACGCAAUGGAAUAUUAUUCAGCCAUAGGAAGAAAACAGAUCCUACCAUUUGCAACAGCAUGGAUGGAGCUAGAGGGUAUUAUGCUCAGUGAAAUUAUGUACAGUGAAAGACAAGUACCAAAUGAUUUUACUUACCUGUGGAGUAUAUGAACAAAGAAAAACUGAAGGAACAAAACAGCAGCAGACCCACAGAACCCAAGAAUGGACUAACAGUUACCAAGGGGAAAGUGACUGGCGAGG